rnacentral:rRNA from 1 species
CUGGCUCAGGAUGAACGCUGGCGGCGUGCCUAAUACAUGCAAGUCGAACGAGGGUGCUUGCACCCUAGUGGCGAACGGGUGAGUAACACGUAGGUAACCUGCCCUUAAGCUUGGGAUACCCAGAGGAAACUUUGGCUAAUACCGGAUAACAACAGAAGAGGCAUCUCUUCAGUUUGAAAGGCCCUUUACGGGGUCACUUAAGGAUGGACCUGCGGCGCAUUAGCUAGUUGGUGAGAUAACAGCCCACCAAGGCGAGGAUGCGUAGCCGACCUGAGAGGGUGAUCGGCCACAUUGGAACUGAGACACGGUCCAAACUCCUACGGGAGGCAGCAGUAAGGAGUUUUCGGCAAUGGGGGAAACCCUGACCGAGCAACGCCGCGUGAGUGAUGACGGCCCUAUGGGUUGUAAAGCUCUGUUGUAAGGGACGAAUGAUUCGCUUAGGAAAUGAAGCGGAUUUGACGGUACCUUACCAGAAAGCCACGGCUAACUACGUGCCAGCCGCUGC